GGGCGCGUAGCUCAAUUGGUUAGAGCCCCGAGCUUAUACCUCGGUGGUUCCAGGUUCGAGUCCUGGCGCGCCCA
rnacentral:tRNA from 1 species